GUGCAGGAGCCGCAGGAGACUCGGGUUCCAUCCCUGGGUCAGGAAGAUCCUCUGGAGGAGGAAAUGGCAACCCACUCCAGUAUUCUUGCCUGGAAAAUCCCAUGGACUGUAGUGGGCUACAGUCCAUGGGGUCACAAAGAGUCAGACUCGACUGAGCACACACGAAAACAUAUGCACACUGCUCUAAGCCCAGUGCAGCUCACCAGCCAACAGAACAGAGGCAAAGGGAGAGUGGUGGGAGGGGAACCUCCAGGUGGGCACCUGCGCACUUGGACAGGAGACCCAAGUGCUCGAGGGAGACGGAGUACUGCUGUGUAACGAACCAGCCCAGACCCUAAUGGCUUAAGAAUAAUCGUGUAUUCUGCCACAAACCUAAGCUGAGCAGGACUCAGCGGGGAUGGCUUCUCUGUGCUCCAUGCGGCCUCUGGGGCAACUCAACUAGAAUCCACUUUCAAGAUGGUGCAUCACGCAGCCAACAAGUUAGCGCUGGCUACCAGCUAGGAGCUUUGAUUCCUCAUCACAAGGACUGCUCACUCCACAGGGCUUUCUGGACUUCACAACCCAGAGGCUGAAUUCCCAGGGCGAGUGCCCCCAGAAUCAGACCAGUGUCUCGAAUCCUGGGCCUGGAACCUGGCCCAGUGUCACAUUCAUUCUAGCCUAUGGGUACGUCAGUCUCAGAACCUCAGAUUUAAGAGGGUACGGACACAGCAUCACAAAAGAACAUUAAAUUCGUAGAGAAGUGACAAGACAAAGGAGAAGUACUCUGAGCUUCUAGGAGUGGCAAAUUGUGGAAAGGUGGAUUCUUUACCAUCUGAGCCACUAUGGAAGCCCAGGGAGCCAGCUGAGGGAAGGAUAAUUGGGAAAUGUGAACUUCAGAGGUGACCCUUUCCAAUCAGGAGUUAAAUUGCCCUCACUUCCUCUUGAAAAGCAACCCGGUGAUAUUUCUGCAAAUAAUAGUCUUUUUGAGAAACACUGGCAACAUAGGUACUUCUAAUAAUGAAGGUGAAAAUCCCUUAUACCUUUUAAAAAAUGUCUAGUGUCAAAUCAGUCCAAUAUAUCCAGGAUAAAGCUGUAUUUUCAAUUAUAUUUUUCUUAAACAACAUGGGUAACAAGCUCCUUUUGCGAUAAUGAAGGCUUUGUCUUUGGUGUUAAAAAAAAAAAAAUUAAUCUAUUUUCUCCAGGCCAGGGACAUCAAUUUUUAAAAUGAGAAUUCAUACUUGCUACAGAUGCUGCAAGCUGACUUUUUGCACAAAUAGAUCAAGAUGUUUCUGUUUGUCUUCAG
ensembl:lncRNA